rnacentral:rRNA from 1 species
UACGGGGGGGGCAAGCGUUGUUCGGAAUUACUGGGCGUAAAGGGCUCGUAGGCGGCUUUGCAAGUGACGGGUGAAAUCCCUCGGCUUAACCGAGGAACUGCCUGUCAGACUGUAAGGCUUGAGGCCGGGAGAGGUGAGUGGAAUUCCCAGUGUAGCGGUGAAAUGCGUAGAUAUUGGGAGGAACACCAGUGGCGAAGGCGGCUCACUGGACCGGUACUGACGCUGAGGCGCGAAAGCGUGGGGAGCAAACAGG